rnacentral:lncRNA from 1 species
GGCCGACGAGGGGAAGGAGACAUCAUCUUCAGAAGGCAAGAUGCCCUGAAGCUGACAAGGGGAAGGAGAGAUGCCCUGAGGCUGACGAGGGGAAGGAGACUUCAUCUUCAGAAGGAGAGAUGCCCUGAGGCUGACAAGGGGAAGGAGUGAUGCCCUGAGGCUGACGAGGGGAAGGAGACUUCAUAUUCAGGAUGAGAGAUUCCCUGAGGCUGAUGAGGGGAUGGAGAGAUGCCCUGAGGCUGACGAGGGGAAGGAGAGAUGCCCUGAGGUUGACGAGGGGAAGGAGAGAUCCCCUGAGGCUGACGAGGGGCAGUAGACUUCAUCUUCAGAAGGAGAGAUGCCCUGAGGCUGACGAGGGGAAGGAGAGAUGUCCUGAGGCUGACCAGGGGAAGGAGAGAUACCCUGAGGCUGACGAGGGGAAGGAGACUUCAUCUUCAGAAGGAGAGAUGCCCUGAGGCCGACGAGGAGAAGGAGACUUCAUCUUCAGAAGGAGAGAUGCCCUGAGGCUGACGAUGGGAAGGAGACUUCAUCUUCAGAAGGAGAGAUGCCCUGAGGCUGACGAGGGGAAGGAGAGAUGCCCUGAGGCUGACGAGGGGAAGGAGACUUCAUCUUCAGAAGGAGAGAUGCGCUGAGGCUGACGAGGGGAUGGAGAUGCUCUGAGGCCGACAAUGGGAAGGAGAGAUGCCCUGAGACUGACGAGGGGAAGGAGAUUUAAUCUUCAGAAGGAGAGAUGCCCUGAGGCUGACGAGGGGAAGGAGAGAUGCCCUGAGGCUGACGAGGGGAAGGAGAGAUGUCCUGAGGCUGACGAGGGGAAGGAGAGAUGCCCUGAGGCUGAAAAGGGGAAGGAGACUUCAUCUUCAGAAGGAGAGAUGCCCUGAGGCUGACGAGGGGAAGGAGAGAUGCCCUGAGGCUGACGAGGGGAAGGAGACUUCAUCUUCAGAAGGAGAGAUGCCCUGAGGCCGACGAGGGGAAGGAGACUUCAACUUCAGAAGGCGAGAUGCCCUGAGGCUGACGAGGGGAAGGAGAGAUGCCCUGAGGCUGACGAGGGGAAGGAGAGAUGCCCUGAGGCUGACGAGGGGAAGGAGAGAUCCCUGAGGCUGACGAGGGGCAGGAGACUUCGUCUUCAGAAGGAGAGAUGCCCUGAGGCUGACAAGGGGAAGGAGACUUCAUCUUCAGAAGGAGAGAUGCCCUGAGGCUGACAAGGGGAAGGAGACUUCAUCUUCAGAAGGAGAGAUGCCCUGAGGCUGCCGAGGGGAAGGAGACCUCAUCUUCAGAAGGAGAGAUGCCCUGUUACUGACGAGGGGAAGGAGAGAUGCCCUGAGGCUGACGAGGGGAAAGAGAGAUGCCCUGAGGCUGACGAGGGGAAGGAGACUUCAUCUUCAGGAGGAGAGAUGCCCUGAGGCUGACUAGGGGAUGGAGAGAUGCCCUGAGGCUGAC